rnacentral:rRNA from 1 species
GACCGGCGCACGGGUGAGUAACGCGUAUCCAACCUUCCCAUUACUGUGGGAUAACCUGCCGAAAGGCAGACUAAUACCGCAUAGUCUUCGAUGACGGCAUCAGAUUUGAAGUAAAGAUUUAUCGGUAAUGGAUGGGGAUGCGUCUGAUUAGCUUGUUGGCGGGGUAACGGCCCACCAAGGCGACGAUCAGUAGGGGUUCUGAGAGGAAGGUCCCCCACAUUGGAACUGAGACACGGUCCAAACUCCUACGGGAGGCAGCAGCG